GGAGCAAAGCAUGAUAUAGCAAAGACGAACUAAACUUCCCUCGCACGGAUGAGGCCGACGGUUCGAUCCCGUUCUGCUCCACCA
rnacentral:tRNA from 1 species